rnacentral:rRNA from 1 species
UACGGAGGGAGCUAGCGUUGUUCGGAAUUACUGGGCGUAAAGCGCGCGUAGGCGGCUUUGUAAGUUAGAGGUGAAAGCCCGGGGCUCAACCCCGGAACUGCCUUUAAGACUGCAUCGCUUGAAUCCAGGAGAGGUGAGUGGAAUUCCGAGUGUAGAGGUGAAAUUCGUAGAUAUUCGGAAGAACACCAGUGGCGAAGGCGGCUCACUGGACUGGUAUUGACGCUGAGGUGCGAAAGCGUGGGGAGCAAACAGG